rnacentral:lncRNA from 10 species
ACGCCGGUAAAGCCACAGAGCGACGAUGAGGCGAGACGUCUGCGUUCUUCUCAGGCCUGAGACCCAACCGGCCCGGGCACCAGCUCCUGCUGGACCCCAGAGCGCCUGGAAAGCUCCGGAACCUCUCACCUGCCGCCUCCUCGGGUCCAAGUGCCACCGCGGCCGCGCCCCCGGCAGCCCAGGGCGCGCUUCCACCACGGUACCGGUGGAUUCGCCGUGCGCAGCCGGAAGAUGGCGCAGACGCACAAAGCACACCGAUGCUGCGCCAUGAUAGGGCCGGCGCCGCAGUGUCUUCCGGGAAACAUAGUCUUUAGGCGUAAAGGCAGCAGCCCGGCCUUGAAGCCGGAUCUCGCGAUGUUUCAGGGUGAGCCGGACGCAGGCGUGCCUGCGCAGUGCGCGGAGGAGUGCUGUUCGUGUGUUCGAGUCCCUGGGUUGCUUCCUGGGGUCUGUGGUGCUGGGUGUGCUAUCUGCGUGUGAUUCUCUAGCGAGAGAUUGUGGGCGAGUGACCGAGUGGGCAAGGGGCCGUCACUGUGUGUGCGUGAUUUUGACAGUGUGUGGUGGUAGCUUCUGACUCCGCGUGGGUCGUUGAAUGUAUGACUGGGACCGUUUAGCGGUGGAUACACAACUGUGUGCGGCUGUGGAAGAUUGCCUCAUCCGUUACGUUCCCAUUUCCGUGGAACAACAGUUUUACCAGAAGGUUUCGAAGGAACCUUAAAGUUUGGAAGCGUAAGAGUUUAUCUGGCGGCUUUGGUGUCAUCAAAUGUGAGAAGCCCUGGACUUUACACAUCCCGAGCCAGUGUGAUCCAGUAUGAUUGGGAGUCCGAGUGCCAGAUGCCGGUCAGGACCUGUUAUGCUGGGUCUCAGAAUGCGGAAACUCUCCCUGUCCGAGGUGGAACAGUUUGUCCUUGAGUGAGGACUGGAGUCCUGAGUGACUCUUUUGAUUUGAUCCUGUUUCCCUCAAACCUGAGAUGGGAGCCUCACUGUAUUGCCCAGGCUGGUCUUGAACUCCGGAGCUCAAGUGAUCGUCUUGCUUCAGCCUUGCAAAAUGAUGGUGAAGCUGCAUCAUUGUCUGGGGUAAAUACCUGAGGUUCGUUGUCUCACGCCAAGGGAAUCAAGGACGUGGACACACAAGAAGUGAGUUUAAGAGCGGAGGUUUAAUAGGCGAAAGAGAAAAGAGAAUAGCUCUAGCUCCUGCAGAGAGAAAAGGGCUCCCAAGUAGGACUUCCAGUCCGUGGCGAAGGGCACGGGGUUUAUAGACUGGCUUCAGGAGGUGGUGUCUGAUUUACGUAGGCCCCAAAGAUUGGUUGGACCAGGUGUGCCAAUCAGAAGCUGGCUGCCCCACCCUAAUCUUUUAUUAUGCAGAUGGAGUCCCUGUCUGACCGGGCCAUGUUGUAUGUUCCUUGCUGUACACGUGGUUGACAAAGAAAAGGGAAGAUGGAGCUGCGAUGUUGGACAUGCCUGGCCCCCAGGACAUACAGCCCUGCCGAGCAAAUAAUGAACGUAACUCACAAACUUCCUGCUUAUCAUCAAACGCACGCAUCCACUUAUCAUCAAACACCUCGGGUGACAGAAGAAUGCAGGUCAGCUCCCUGCUGCCUUGGCAUUAUCAAUCAGCCCAGGAACCAUCCUAUAAAAUCUCCAGCAAGCCUUUGUUUCCUUGCAGUCAGCUCCUCUUCCACUGAUUCUGCCUGUUGCUCCCUGAUAACAUACUUUGAUACUGUCUUUAAUAAAUCUGCCUUUCUUCACCCACAGCUGUCUUGGUAAGUUCUUUUACCUCUGUGCCACCAGCCCAAACAGUUGCUGCUCACCUGAAACAAAGAAUAAAUGUGGUUUUUAAGCAAAUCAAAGUUUACUUAGUGACUCUUACCAAGCUUUGUAGAAGGUUGUGCCAAAAGGAGAAGCUUAAGAGAUAAC